UUCCGGUGUACAGUUCGUGCCAGGUAUGCCUGGGGCUUUGAUCCGCUUCCUUUUAAUUAAGCUUUGGAAUAUUUUUGAGAUUUCACCGAUCAAAACUGAGGUUACAUCGGCCGGCUGUCAAACACAUAAUUUACUAACACUACGAUACAUUCAUGAUCGCUAACGCAGCAUCUGCUUAUAAUAGCCAUAAACGUAAAAACAAUUAAGAAUAAAACGUGGACCCUAGAAUCG